CACACAAUGUGACAGUCGCGAUGGCUGGGAACGGGAGGCAGCUGCGCUUCGCGGAAACCCAUCUCGAAGUUCAAUUCGCAACGAAAAACUAACUUUUCUUGCGCAAGAUUGGCGGCGAAUCCCUGCGUGAAGAAGUUGUGCAUGAAUAACUUUGCCUGGCUGCGUUUAAAAGAGUUUGGUAAGCUGGCAGAUGUGCCAGGAUUUGGGGAUGGGGAUAGAGGGGAGGGCACCAGCUUCCUUGGGAGAGCUGUAGGCUCUCCGACGCACUCAAAAUAUGGCACCAAUGGCAAAUGGAUAUUGCUUUCGAUAUUUAAGUUGGGCAUCUCCAGUCCAAGGUGUCAUAUAUAUUCUGAACCAUAGUCGAUGGAUUUAUUACUCUCAAUACAAGAACAUUUUAACUGUACAUUCUCCC
rnacentral:lncRNA from 1 species